rnacentral:lncRNA from 1 species
AAACUAAACCCAUGUUCAUAAUGCACUUAAUUAAGAAUUAAAAUUUGAAAUUAAAAGAUAUAAAAUUAUGAAUUUAAGAUCUAAAUUUUAAUUGCAUAAAAUAUGAGGUUAAGGGUAUGGGUAGCUCAAUUAGAUAUAGUUUGAGUGGUUGAUCAAACCAAAUCAAAUGUUGAUUAAAAUUAGGUCAAAUAUGCUCAUGCCCAACUCAAUUAGUUGUAGUUUGGUCAGAUCCAUUAACAGCUACAUGUUAUCGAUCAACUUGAGAUCUAAUAUGGCUCAGUGAUUCGAGCUCGAGUCAAUUGACUAACC